GUAUUUUUUAAUUUUACUAUUCCAAAGUGGCUAUUUUCAAAAUCCACUCUUCUAUUUUCUAUGUUUCAAGUAAUGAACUUUAGACAUUAAUAACUCAUUAAUCUUAAUUUGAAAAUUAAUUAAUGAAUAUAUUAAAUUUAUGUAUUCAAAACGCAGAUACCAUAUCCACUAUUUAUGUCUAAUAAAUCCCGAUGAAUUACCA
rnacentral:lncRNA from 1 species